UGGGCGUGAUGAGAUCUCUAGAGCCUGACUUCUUCAGCCGUGGAGGCAAAAGCUGAUUUAAUGAGCCUGAUCC
rnacentral:snoRNA from 1 species